UAGAGUUUAUGCUUGAUCUUGCAUUAGACAGACAGGAUGCGUCUUUUAUUGAUGGAGAGAACUUAAUGUCAACUCAAGUGUCUGAUUAUUAGAGAGAAGAGAACCUUUUUUUUCUUGGGUGCGCGCACCAUUUAACCUAAGAGUCAAAAUUUAAGUUGAGUGGUUCUUUCAUGUCAAAGCCUUUUUAGGACCUAGUUGUCUAAAUACAAUUUCUGACACUCCUAUCCUUAUGAUAAAAUUGCAAUACGAGGUAAGCAUGGACAAUACACUUUACCCAAUAGGCUUAUGGUUGAAGGUGCAUGUUAUGUUUAGCACUUCAGGUUCCAUAGCAAGGCUAGCAGAUACCUCAAUUCUUUAUUAUUAUAAAGUUGUACUAUAGCUGAUUUUGUUCAUAUUUCAGGUAUUUUCGAUUUAUAAAUAUAAGAAAGUGUACUGACGUAGGGUUUUUUUUUUUUUGUUCGUUUAGUACCAUGUCCAGAUCCUAAGGGCAUUUGUAGAUUCUGCUGAACGUGAAGUGAGAUCUUUGGCGCCACUUUUUGUUACUGCGGUAAUGCUAAGUUGCUUCUUCAUGCUUUUAAUAUUUAAGGAACCUGCUUUUCAAUAUCCACAGACUACUGAGUGCUCCGGCAUUAGAUAUUCUCGGUAUUAAGACUUAUUUCUGGAUUUGAAUGUUUUCAGGGUAGAAAUGCAGAUGCAUUGGCAGUUUAUUUUGGAGAAGAUCCUGCUCGAUUCUCAUUUGAGCAAGGUACUUAGAAAGUUUGAGAUCUUAUUCUUCUUAAUCGAGUAACAAAGUGUAAAUGCUAAAAAAUCAAAUGGAUGUGUUUGUUUUAAGAUGUUUUACUCUGUGUAUUCAUUCUACAGUUGUGUCUACGCUGCGUAAUUUCGUGAAGAUGUUUGUCCGAGCCCGUGAGGAAAACUACAAGCAACUUGAAUUUGAAAAGAAAAAGGCAGAGAGGGAAGAGAAAAUGAGAAGUUGAAGAUAGGCUCUUACAAAAUAGAGUCUGAAAACUUGAUGCCAAAUACUAUCAAGAGUGGGAAUAUCAAAAGAUCAAGUGCUAUAAAUGUUAAUCUAUCGAUCAAAUCAGAAAGCGGUUCCCAUGUAGAUAAGCAUCAUUAUACUAACGGAUGAACAUCCAUUUGAGGACAAGACGCAACCAGAAACAAGCAAUGAACAACGGAAACAGGAAAGCAUUUUCCCUUGCAGCAAGAAUAUGCAGUAGAAGAUAUGCAGGUGCAUAUUAUGGGGACAAAAUCCGCAUCCGAAGCUGCAAGAGAACUAAUACCUAUUCUGGUUUGUGUUUUUCUUCUGCUCUACUAAUGAAUUCAUGAUCUGAUAUUUUGUUUGUGCCACUGUUUUAACAAAUCUCUAUUUGCUUUAAUUUGGAGCAGAGAUGGUGGUGAGAUGGCGUCUUGUCCGAGGAACCACCUGCAAGAUAUGUCGAGAAUUUUUCUGUAAAAAAUAUUUUCUUACACCCUUUCUUUUCAUAAUUCAUAUAUGAGAUAUAUAUUUGAUUAAAAGGGUUGUAUAUUUCUUCUGUAUAUUUUUAUUCAGAGUGAUGUAAAUAUUUAAAUCUGGUCAAUCAAUGUUAGCAUACUGAGAUAUUGCAAAGCAAAAUUUAAUUUCUCAUUUAUAAAUAAUUGAAUUUUAGUUUAUGUGACAUCGUUAGAACCUAAUUUAAUUUACUGUGAAAAGAAUAAUAUUAAAGUAAUAUCAUCUCAUUAACAGAUUUUAAUAUUAAUUUAUUUAUAUGAUUAUUUUUAAUAUAAUUUUAUAAUUAUAUAACCCACUAUAAUUCUUAAAAAAAAAAAACAAGUUUCGACAUUAUAUAAGUUAAUUAUAGUUAAAUAUUUGUGUUAUGUACAAAUAUAAUAGAAAUAAAAUUUUAAAUUAUCUAAUUUAGAUGUUAUUAGUUCACUCCUUAACAAAAUAAUCUAUAAUAAUUAUAUAAUUUUAAUUAUUAAACUAUGUAAUUCUCAUUUUAUUCUUAAAUUUUAUUUAAAAUUUUUGAUAUAAAGUAAUUAGAUUUAUAUAUAAAAAAAUUAAUUAUUUAAUUCUCAUAAUAUGACUGAUGUAACAAAAAGUAGGCAUUGAGUUGUCACCAUAAUACAUGCCAUUUAGCAAGAGUCUGAGAAGCUGAUACAUGAUUCUACUCGUGGGGAGGAAGACUUGGACACUGUAGCACCGGUUCUUCAACAAGACUCGUCCUCUCCUAAAUAGGUCGAGUAUUCACAUAUUAACAAGAGCCUGAGAAGCUGAUACGUGAUUCCACUCAUGGGGAGGAAGACCUGGACACUGUAGCACCGGUUCUUCAUCAAGACUCGCCCUCUCCUGAAUAGGUCGAGUAUUCACAUAAAGUUACUUUUAGUAGGUAUAAUUCCGCAGAUCCCUUUUUACACCUAUAAUCACGGGAUUUUUUAUCAAUUAGCCGGUGGGAUUUUCUAUCAAUUAGCCGACACCGACUGAAUUUCUGGGAAAUGCUAUAAUUAAUUUCAUCUUCUUAUAGUAUAAAAACUAAUGAUCGCAGAGACAAAGGUACGCAUUCUCUUACACAACUACUCUUGAGUUCUAAGCAUUUCCUUAUACUUACCCUAUUCUUCAAUUUAUUGACUUGAGCGUCAGAAUGACUGUCAUAAGCGUCAAUUAUCUCACAUUCUCUUUCUUGCAGGAUUAACCAAUCGCAUCACAGCUGUAAUGACAAGCCUGGUUUUUCACAUUCAGCAAAACAUAUAUACAUAUACAGAUCAUGUACACAACAAACAUCACUAAGUCAAGCACAUUUCUAACUUUAUACACAACUAUUACAUCUCGUUAAUAUUACAUGUCCACUCUAAGCUAUUACAAAUCUCUUUACUCUUUCUGUACUCUGCUGGACUGUCCCUGUACACUGUACACUGAACCUGCAAAACUGGAGUUAAGGGAGUGGGAUGAGCUCUAUAGCCCAGUGAGUAGAACAGUAAAACAUCUCAGUAAAACAUGAUCUCAUGGAAUGCGUCAUAACACAGUCAAUCCACAUCAAGAGUAAACCUGUCACCACAUAGUCCCAGUAACCAGGUAUGAGUUAACCCAUCUAGAGUAAACUCUAGUCAGGGGUACAGAGUACAGAGUACAGAGUACAGAGUACAGAGAUAGUGCAUGCACAGGUUAAGCCUUGGUUCAGAAAAGAGUUUUUAUUUUCACAGAAAAUGUAUGAUCAUGUAUGAGUGUUACAAGUACACAGAGAGUAUAGCAGGCUUGCUACGGGUUCUGGCGGCCUUAAGCCGACCUGAAUCCUAGCGCCGGUGACGGUCCAUUUUACGGGUAUUACAACAGCUCUAUUUCGGCCACAUCAUUUGGUUCCGUUAUCGGAAACUAUAUUGAAUUCUCUCUAUUUAUUUGGAUUAAAAUCAGUCUCUUAUCCCCUUUCUCUUAAAAAUAAAUCUUUCUUUCCUUUCUCUGAAAAUGGCCGGCAAUUCACGAGUUGCUGCUAAGAUUGCUACCAAUGAGAGCGCUAUCAUUUCUUCCACUCCUGGGAGUGGAUAAAACACAUCCUCUAUGGUCAACGAAGGAGAUCUCAACAAUCUUAACAAUGAGCUAAUUCUCCAAUACAUCAAAAGCUUGCAGGUUACUCUCAAGCGAUACAAAACUUGGAGGGAGGUGUCAUUUAUGGCCCCCAGAGGAAGGAAGAAAGGUCUUGAAACGUCAUUCAUGACUCCCAGAGGAAGGAAGAAAACCUUCAUUGAUACUCCAAGGACUUGGACAAAGGCGAUCCAAACGCGGUCUAAAAGGAAGGUUGAGUUCAAGGAAGAAGAGUCAUCAGACGAUGCCCCAAAGGACGUUGUCUGGAAGUUGGUACGGGCUAUUCAAAGGUACCAGAAGGAGCAGGAAGAGGACUUCGGCCUGGAUGAUGCCUCACCUCUUUUAGAGAAGAUCUUGACAGAGAUAUUCUCCCCUAAGUUCAAACUUCUAAGUGUGGACAAAUAUGAUGGGACAACAGAUCUCAUGAGUCACCUAGCGAUGUUUAGGACGACCAUGCAGUUUUAAGAUGUCAAUGACUUCGUGUUGUGCUGAGUGUUUCCAUCAACACUUGUAGAUUUGGCUAAGAAAUGGUACCAAGUCUAGGUUUAAUUCAUAAUUUUACACAAUUCGUUAUGGUAUUUAAAUCCAAGUUUAUUACUUGUAUACCUCCUAAGGUAAGAACACCAAUCAAUCCUGAUGAAAAUCGAUGACCGUUGGGCCUCUAGCAUCCGGGCUGAGGUCGAGCCCUGGAGAAAGAGACAGGCCCAAAGCACACUAGAGCCCACUAAGCAGACCGAUCCGUCAACAUCCCGUCCAACCAGUGCCUAAGGCAGGCCAGGCUGUCCGAGGGCCCGGACCUGCCAGAAGGGAGCCUAGCUCAUUUGAUGUGAUGGGAAAUAGGAGAGCAGGCUCAGCUAUGCUGCGGCUCUACCACAACGCGCACUGGAAGGGAAUUAAAUGGCCGUCUGACGAGGAUGGGCAAGUAGGUGUGCCCGUACGUACGGCUCUGCGUGACAGGGACAUGUGGCACUAUAGCAGGGUGGCGGUUAUGCGUCACUAGAGAACAAGGGAAAAAGGAAUAAACGAGGGAAAGGUGACCCCCUAGACUAAGCUUACACACACUCUCAGGAAUCCUAUUUUCUCUAGAUCUCAUAACAUCAAUUGGCACCGUAUGUGGGAACAAAAGAGAUCUUUCCGUCACUGGAGUUUCCAUUUCCAUAACACCCACUGAGAUCCACAUGGCUAACCACAACGAAAAUAAUACCACCAACACCCUAAACGACCUGAGUUCUACUCACGAAGGUCAGUAGUUCUCAUUUUUCGGCCCCACAACUCCCAUCAAACCAACCACCUGUACUGUUUAAUCCCUUACCAAGCUCGGCAGGGAAUACACCCAAAACCACCUUAUCUGACCAGGAGCUACAAACAUAGCUCUUUAGCUCCAAAACACUACCCACUGGUUGGGCAAAAUGCUACAACAGAGGGGCCUCAAUACCCCGUUGAAUGUACCCCCGGUAACGAAGGUUUCAACGCUACUGAACCCCAACCUACCUUUAACUACCAAGUCCCCCAACAGAGUAGCCAGAAGACAGGCGAAAGAAGUGGAAAGGUCGAUAGGGAGAAUGAGCCUACGGUUAGAGCUAGAGGCCAAAGGGUGAGAGAGCUCAUCGAAAAUGAUGAAGCUGAGAGCUAUUAUGCUGAGCCAACAAGAAGGACAAGAAUUGAAGAGUUGGAGAGGGGAUAUCACCUAGAAAAAAGGCCCAAGUAAGAGGAGACAGAUGUGGACCAGAAGUUGGAAAGGAUAAAAGAACAGCUCCUGGCUGAAUUGGGGGCACGAGACAACAGCCAGGCCCUUUUACCCACAUCCUCACCUUUUUAAAGGUGGAUACAGCAGGAGACCAUCCCGAAGAAGUUCAUGAUGCCAUCGAUGGCAGCUUAUGGUGGUGCAGGAAACCCUUGGGAGCACAUCCUGAACUACAAGACGUUCAUGGAGCUCCAAACUCUCUCAGACAUCCUGAUGUGCAAAGUCUUCCCCAUUACUCUCACAGGGCUAGCUUGGGUGUAGUUUAACAGCCUGAAGGCAAGGAGCAUUAAGAGUUUCACGGAUCUAGCGAACAUAUUCAUCAGCCAGUUUAUUGCAAGGGUCCUGGCUGAGAGAAAUACCAGUUACCUAGAGAUGGUACGACAAAGGAGGAAUGAGUCUCUAAGAGAGUACAUGGCUAGAUUCAACUCGAAGGCCUUGCAAAUCCCCGAGCUGGAUGAAGCAAGGGCAGUGGAGGCUAUGCAGAAGGGGACUACGUCCCCUGAAUUUUUUGGGUCGUUGUGCAGAAAGCCACCCACUACCCUGGCAGAAGUGAUGAAGAGAGCAAAAAAGUACAUAAGGCAGGACGAUGCCUUAACCACUAGAAGAUUCGUUAGGGAAGCAGGAGACAGGGGGAAGGCUGUGGAGGAGAGAAGGCCUGAGAGGCAAGAAAAGAAGCAGAAUCGGGGGCUUGAGAUGAAUAGGCAGCCCUGGGAUAGGAGAGAGCAGAGAGCAUAUUAGCCCCGGAUCCCUGAGGUAAUCACUCCUCUCAAUGCAUCUAGAGCUGAAUAGCUCAUGGCGGUGCAGGACAAGAACUUCUUACAGUGUCCUAAACCCAUGAGAGCCGAAGCCAGCCGAAGGGAUUCGGACAAAUAGUGCUAAUACCACCGGACACAUGGCCACGAUACUAACAGCUACUACCAAUUUAUAAAUGAAAUAGAAAGGCCGAUCAAGAGGGGGCACCUCUGGAACUUCAUGAAAAAGCCAGAGGGAGAGAGGCCUCAACAGAAUAUAGUGGUGGAGAGACUCCAUAGACAGGGGGCAGGGCCAGUGAAUGAUGGCUCUAGCAGGACCAUUAACAUAAUUUUGGGAGGAACUAGAGGGCAGAUGAGCAAAAGAGGGAAGAAGAGAAGUCGGAAUGGAGAGGGGAGCAGCAACGAAGUCCUGCAGAUAGUGGUGCACUCCCCGGUGACCAUCUCCUUUUCUCCUGAAGAUGCUCACGGGAUCCAGAUGCCUCAUGAUGAUGCCUUAGUCAUUAGGUCAUCAUUCACAACUUCAAGGUCCGCAAGAUCCUGGUGGACGACGGGAGCAAAGUGAACCUGCUGCCCUACAGGGUCUUUCAGCUGAUGAACAUCCCGGAAGAGCAGCUGGUUAGGGAUCAGGCCCCAGUCAAGGGGAUAGGGGGAACCCCUGUGGUUGUGGAAGGAAAGGUAAAGGUGGCCCUGACAUUAGGAGAACCACCCCUGUCAUGCACUCACUGUGCAAUCUUUUUUGUGGUGAAGCUCCCCCUAAACUACAACGCUAUUCUGGGAAGGCUGAUGUUGUAUGAUUUUGAAGCAGUAACCAGUAUCCAAUACCUGACCAUGAAAUUUUCCACUGAGGCAGAAGUGGGGAUAGUCUGAUGGAGGCAAGAAGAAGCCCGGGCGGUGUAUCUGGCCACAGUGGUAGAGCCAAGCAUAAUGGCUGAAGAGGUGAAUCCGAAAGUCAUGGAGGUCCGGGAUGAGAAGAAGGAGGCUAGGACGGAGCCCGUUGAUGAGCUGGAGACAUUCCCACUAUCUGAAGAAGACGCCGACAAAGUCUUCAGCAUCAACGCGAGCCUUGACAAAGACCAGAAAGAGGCAGCGAUGGCUCUUAUCAGAGAACAUGCCUCAAGCUUUGCCUGAAAGCCUUCGGACAUGCCGGGGAUAGAUCCAAAUGUGAUGAUACACAAGUUGAACAUCCUCCCUGGAGCCAAGCUAGUAAAGCAGAAGAAGAGAGUAUUCGGGAAGGAGAAACAACAAGCCACUAGAGAAUAAGUUCAAAAGCUGGAAGAGGCUGGUUUCAUUAGGGAAGUUAUGUAUCCAUAAUGGUUAGCUAACCCUGUGUUAGUUAAAAAGGCUAACGGGAAAUACCGAAUGUGUAUAGAUUUUACUGAUCUAAAUCAGACCUAUCCCAAAGAUUGUUAUCCUCUUCCCGAUAUAAAUAAAAUGGUCGAUUCUAUGGUCGGUUUUGAUUAUAUGACGUCCCUUGAUGCUAUGUAUGGGUAUCACCAAAUUCCUAUAGAUAGGUCAGAUGAAGAGAAGACCUCAUUCAUAACCGAAGAUGGAACUUACUGAAUAAAACCUUCAAGGGGCAGAUAGGGAGAAAUGUAGAGUUAUAUGUUGAUGAAAUAGUGGUGAAGAGCCAAACUUUCCAGCAGCACUUGACCGACCUGAAAGAAGUAUUUGGGGUGCUACAGCAGUAUAUAAUGAGGUUAAACCCGGCUAAAGACGCUUUCUUUAUCAGAGGGAGAAAAUUCCUAGGCUACAUGGUUAAUGGAAAAGGCAUUGAGCCAAACUCGGAGAAGGUGGAAGCCAUAUUAAACAUGCCAAAGCCAACCUGUGUAAGGGUGGUAGCACUUAACUGAUUCAUGUUAAAGUCCACAGAAAGGUGCUUGCCAUUUUUCAAAAAAUCGAGGAGAGUCUCAAAACUUCGAAUGGACAGAGGAUUUCCAGGAGGCCUUCAAAAAUCUCAAGCAAUACCUCAGUUCACCACAUGUGCUCAGUAGCCCUCUAGCCGGGGAAGAACUCUUAAUAUACCUAGCAGCAUCAGAACAAGCUAUAAGUGCCGUGCUGGUGAGAGAAGAAGGGGGAGAGUAAAAGGUAGAGAGUAAAAGCCUAUCUUUUAUGUCAGCAAAGUGCUCAAAGAUGUCGAGCUCAGGUACAUGAACAUAGAAAAAUUGGCGUUUGUCUUAUUGCUAGCAGUGAGAAAGUUCAGAGUAUACCCGGAGGGCCACCAAGAGGUUGUAAUGAUAGACCAACCCUUGAAGAAGAUUUUGCACAGACCUGAAACCUCAGGAUGGAUGCUAGCUUGGUCCAUAGAAAUCAGCCCGUACUGCCUCAUAUACCGACCUUAGACAACCAUCAAAGCCCAAGCCCUAGCUGACCUCAUAGCCGAGUGCUCUUUCAAUUCAGAACAGCAGGAACAAAGUGAGGGGUUACCAAGCUUGGUUAAAGGAAGGAUCAGAGGCCAGCAACCAUGAGAAUUCAGCUGGCACUUGUUCGUAGAUGGGGCAUCCAGUGCCAGGGCAGUGGAGCAAGGAUACUUUUGAAAGGCCUAGAAGGAUUCAGGGUCUGCUACGCCUGGAGUUCGCGGCAUCUAAUAAUAUGGCCGAAUACGAAGCCCUCAUAAAUGGGAUGCCAUUGCAGAAAGAGUGACCUCGGUCCCCCUCUUGGAGCCACUCUCUGUGGACUCGUUGAUGGUAAUGGGCUCCCGGGAAGCUAGAGUAGAGGUGGAUUUGGGCCUCGAAGCCAUCAGAGACUUAGAGGAGUCUAAAGCUUUGCCCUGAGUGGAGGCCCUGAAAGCCGCAGAGCAAGAGCCUUUGGACACGGGCACCAGUGCCCAGGAAGAAGCAAGGGCAGCAGUCCGGCCUACCACGGUGAGGGAAAUGGCAUGGAAAACCUCGCGAGUCACGUCUGCCACUGAUCGACUAGCCUUAAAGGCCUCCAUAGUGGCCUUCAUAUUCUCCCUGGACAUGGUAAAGUUCUUGGGAGGCCUGAUUUUAUCCAUUGGCACAUAAAAAGCUGUAAAAACAAAAAUAACCCAAGUUAAAGCCAAACACAAUGAAAAGGAAAAAGAAAAAGGCAGAACAAUCAUUAACGAAUACUAGCUUCCUGGCAGUCCCGGAGACUGGAUAUGAACAUGCACUUCUCAACAUCAUACUUUCUUGAGACAAAGUUUAGUCGAAGAAGGCAGAUCUGGUCCAACAGGGGCAGCUGAGGAAGGUCGUUACAAACCUGGGGGAACCUCCCUCUAGGAGAGAUCAACAUCCCAGUCGAUUCUAGAGCCUUCCUUUAGCUCUACCACCACAAAGGCCUCAGCCCAGCCUUUAAUUGAAUCUUUGUACUCUGAGAAGAUGGACAACCCUCCCCGGCGAGCAAAGUAGUAGAACGCAUGGUUCGCUCGAACCAGGCAAAAAAAAGUGGAAAACAAAGCAAUAGAAAGGGCAAAACUCCAGUACAAGCUAACUGAUUCGAAGGACCACAUGAAGAGGAUGAAAUUUGGAGAAAGCAUGUGAAGGGUCAUUCUGAAGUGACGAAAAACCUCAAUAAAGAAGGGAGAAAAGGGAAAGGUUAAACCGAAAUCGUGUUGCUUGACAUAGAAGAUCAAGUUGCGAUCUCGUUGGGAUCCAUCAAACCCGCCGGAGGAGGAGCGGGAAGAACAAUCCUCUCACUGUGAUAUGGAGCCCUAAUACUGUAGAUGGAGGUGUAUAGGUAGUCGGGAGAAAAGAAAUUGGUAAGAGUAGCAGAGGUGACGAUAGACCUCAAAGUCAGGACAUUGGGGAUUCUAACAACAACCAUUAGGAAAUAGAAGACGUACCUCAGAGAAAUUUUGCAGAAAAGAGGAAAGACGGAGUAGAGAAAGCAGAGCGAGAAGAAGAGUCUGGAGAGAAAUGGAGAAUUCGAAUUUGAAAAGAGUAAAGAUAAAGAAGAGACGUUUUGACAGAAGCCUACCUAGGGUCACGCGGUCAUAAUUGAGAUCUAGGGAUCUACCCCCUCAUUAAUCAUGGAAUACUUACUGAGGAGGUAAAGGGGCACUUGAUGACCGCUAGGCCUCUAGCAUCUGGACUGAGGUUGAGCCCUAGAGAAAGAGACAGGCCCAAAGCCCACUAGAGCCCACUAAGCAGGCCAAUCCAUCAAUAUUCCAUCCAACCCGCGCCUAAGGCAGGCUAGGCUGUCCGAGGGUCCGGACCUGCUAGAAAGGAGCCUAGCUCGUAUGAUGUGACGGGGAAUAGAAGAGCAGGCCCAACUAUGCCGUGACUCUACUACCAUGCGCGUCGGAGGAGAAUUAAACGGCCGCCUGAUGAGGAUAGGCAGGCAGGUACGCUCGUACGUACAACUCUGCAUGACAGGGACAGGUGGCACUGUAGCAGGGUAGUGGUUGAUGACCGCUGGAUUUCUUCACCCCAGAACAAGGGCUUGACCCCAGCCAAAGGCCCAUGACACAGAGGCCCACGUACUUGAUACCCCCCAACAAGCCUGGCUCAUCCCAGCUUCCGGGCCGGGCUCGACCAAGCUUCCUCACUCAGUCCAGCCUGAUCCCUGACCAGCAGACCCCUCUCAGGCCCAGCGUCCAGCCCAACUCUCGGCCCAGCCCGGGGUCCAGAACAAUAUUCACCCGACAGCCUGGCAGAUCCGCUCGAACGUACGCACGAGGAGAAUCAGAGGCCGUUACGCAUGGAGCAGGCGGCUGAUACCCUAGUACCUCCGAAUCCGCAUGGCAGAGACGCGUGGCCCAAUCCUGGAGAGACCUUUACACGUCACCAGCAAGCAAGACAAUGUAUAAAAGAGGGGUCCCCUCCUCAGAAAGCUUAAGCCUUAUUCAGUAAUACAAAACCCUUGUAAAACCCUAUUCAAUUGGAUCUCAGAUCAUCAGUGGUUAUGCGUCACCAGAGAAUAAGGGAAAAAGGAAUAAAAGAGGGAAAGGUGACCCUCCAGACUAAUCUUACACUCACUCUCAGGAACCCUAUUUUCUCUGAAUCUCAUAACAUAAAAAAUGAACCUUAGGGGUUAUUCAUGUGAUUUACGAACAUGUUAUCAAUAAAACUAUGAUGUAUUCUUCAGCCUUUUUGUUAUAUGUAAAUCAGAAAUGAUGGAUGGACGUAAGCAUAAAGAUAAGAAUAAUGCCACAAGGCAGGUAUCUGCCAGGCGAGCCACAAAGUGAGAAUCUGCCGGGUACAUUUCCGAAUAUUAGUUUCAAUUGACUAAGACAUUUUAUGUCAACGCCACAAGGCGAGUAUACUCCGGGUGAGUCAUAAGGCGGGAAUCCGCACAUAUUUGGGUGUUAGUCCUAAUUAACUAAGGUAUUUUAUACUAACGCCAUAAGGUGGAUAUCCGCCAGGCGAGUCAAAGACGAAAAUCUACCAGGCACAUAUCCAGAUGUUAGUCCCAAUUAACUAAGGCAUUUUAUAUCAACGCCACAAGGCGGGUAUCCGCCAGGUAAGCCACAAGGCGGGAAUCCUCCAGGCACAUAUUCUGGUGUUAGUCCCGAUUAAUUAAGGCAUUUGAUUCCAAGCUACAAGGCGGAUCUCCACCAGACCAUAAUCCGGGUGUUAGUCCCGCUAAAUUAGGCAUUCUAUGCCAAGCCACAAGGUGGAUUCCACCAUGCCAUAAUCCGGGUGUUAGUCCCGCUAAACAAAGCAUUUGAUUCCAGCCCACAAGUCGAGUCUCUGCCAACCUUUAAUCUAGGUGUUAGUCCCGCUAACAAGGCAUUCGAUACUAGGCCACAAGGUGGAUCUCCGCUAGGCCAUAAUCCGGAUGUUAGUCCUGCUAAUCAAGUCAUUUCAUGCCAGACUACAAGGUAAGCUCCGCCAGGCCAUAAUUCGGGUGUUAGUCCUGCUAAACAAGGCAAUUGAUGCCAAACCAUAAGGCAGGUUCCGCUAGGCCCUAAUUCGGGUAUAGUCCCACUAAAUAAGGCAUUCGAUGCUACGCCAUAAUUCAAAUAUUAGUCCCGCUAAACAUGGCAUUUGAUACCACCAUAAUCUGAAUGUUAGUCUAGCUUCACAAAAAAGUUUAUAAGGCAUUCUUUGUCAGUCCACAAGGUAGGUAUCCGUCAGGCUACGCGACCGGGUGUUAGUCCCGCUUCACAAAAAAAUUUAUAAGACAUUUUAUGUCAGAUCACAAGACGGGUAACUACUAAGCAAGUCUUCGGGUGCUAGUUCCAAAAGAUAAAGGCAAGUUUUUGUCAAAAAAGUACCACAAGGCGGGUAACUGCCAGACGAGUCUUCAGGUGUUAGUCUCAAAUGACAAAAGCUAAAUUUUUGCUAAAAAAAUGACACGAUGCGGGUAACCGCCAGGUGAGUUUUUGCGCAUUCGUCCCAAAAGAUGAAAUCAAAUUUCUGCCAAAAAGCGCCACAAGGCGAAUUUCUACCAGGCUAAAUGACCAGGUGUUGGUCCCGAUCGAGUGUUAAGUUCAUUUUAUUAUUCUUUUCCAAUUUAUCCCAUAGUCACAAGGCGGGUGUCCGCCAGACGAAUCACAAUACGAGUGUUAAGUUUCAUUAAAAAACUUAAGUUAUUUUAUGAUUAGGAGCAAGCAGAGUAACGCGAGUGUGAAAAGCCAAUCUAGAUAUACUAAGUGCCCAAAAUUGUGAAGAUAGUUGUCACAUUCGAAUCUGAAAAAUCGAAUACCAGCGAGGGAUCUUUAAUGUAACAUAACAAUCUUUCAAAGUAAGUCAUGAGUUAUCACCAUAAGACAGGGUUAUAUGGCAAAAGUCUAAUAAGUCAAUACGCGGUCCCACCUAUGAGAAAGAAGAUUUGGACACUGUAGUACUCAAUUUUUCAUCAAGACUUGCCCUCUCUUGAAUAGGUCGAGUCUUUACAUAAAGUCACCGUUAGCAUUUAUUAUUCAGUAGAUCCUUAUUACGUCUGUAAUUACUGGAUAUCCUAUCAAUUAGUCGACACCGGUUGGAUGAAAAUAUUAUAAUUAACUCCAUCUUCUUAGAAUAUAAAAACUAAUGAUCGCAGAGAUAAAGAUAUGUUUUUUUUUUAUACAACUACUCUUGAAUUUUAAACAAUAUCUAAUAAUCUCUCUAUUUUUAAUUUACUGACUUGAGUGUGGAAGUAGCUGUUAUAGAUGCCAACCACCUCACAUUCUCUUUCUUAUAGGAUUGACCAAACGCAUCAAACUUUAUCUUGGCCACAUCAAUGACAAAACUCACUAGUUGAUCCAUUUAUUUUGAAAAAUACAUUGAAAUAUUUAUAACAUUUUAAAAAGCUUCCUAAAUAGUCACUCCGUUAAUUUUAACCAUUAAAUAUUAUAAAAACUAUAAAAUACUUUAAUGCGAAUGGACUAAUUAAUAAUUUUUUUUAAAUCGAAGAGGGUAAUUAAUAAAUUUUUUAAAAUUAUAAAAAUUAAACAAUAAAAUAUUAAUGACUAAAAUUAAUGAAUAAAUUAAAUAGUAGAUUUUUGAAAAUAUAAAUAUAUUUUAAUAUAUUUUUUUAUCAUAGUUUAAAAAUAAAUAGUAAUUUUUUCUUACAUAUAUCACGAUACCCUAAAUAAUAAAAUAUAUUGAUAUGAACGAGAAAUAUAUUUAUUAAUUAUAUCAUUGUCUGAAUCAUUUAGUCAUAAUUUAUUAUUACAAUUAAAUUGAAAUAUUUUUUAUAUUUGUAUUUAUCAUUUUUAACAUGGUAAAACACUAAACACGUUAUAACAAUUCGCAAAUGAAAUUACUAAAAUAGAGGAAANNNNNNNNNNNNACAACUUAAUUUCAAGAACUGAAAAUUAGUUUUUUUUUUUUUGGGAAAAAUUAGUUUGUUGAGGAUUGUAAAGGACAAAGACACUGCCAAUAACUAACCCGGAAAAAUAUGCUUUUCAGGAAGUAGUAAAUUAAAAUAAUGAAGAAUUUAUUAUUUAAUAAUUUUUUUAAAUAUUAAUAAUAUUUUAUUAUGUUUUUUAAUAUUAAAAAAUUAAUUAACGAAUUUAUAUACUAAAUAGCAAUUUUCUCAACUGGAUCCAGAUAUAUGAAGGGAAGCACGUGACACCGCUUGACACACACGUGUGCUAACAACCUAAUUGCAAAGUCUAACUAUCUAUCUUAGGUCAGAUGAAGAAAGAAAAUAGAAAAGAAGAAACUCGUAUUAUUAACAACAUCGUAAUCAUGCAAUAAACAGCCUGCAACAAAAUAAUAAUAAUAAUAAAUAAAACUAACUCUUAUAUUACACCAGACAGAUGGAGACACAGACAAAACAAACCUCUGAUCGUUGGAUCAUGGAUGUCCUUAACAAUAACUUCCAUCUCUACCUGCAACUCUAUGUUCCUCUCUUAUUUAUAUUCCCACUCUUUCUCUCUGUGACCAUCAACCUCUUGUUGAUUGAAAGCUAAGUUUCUUGUCUCUGAUGCAAAGCCACAAACACCAAGUGUGCAUUUCAAGAAAAUGCACGCAGCAACAUCCAUGAGUGCAGUGUUUUUCUUCUAUCAUCAUUUUGGCUUCUUCUGUGAUCUGUGUAUGAAGAGCUGAUUUCUGGAGCUGUUUUUUUGCUGCAAUAUUGUAGCUUCAGUUGGUGCAUUUCCGGGUCUUCUUCUGGUUUCUUUUUUCUUUUGGAUGGAUAUGGCUCUUUUUAGGAAGUUCUUCUAUCGAAAGGCACCUGACGGGCUUUUGGAAAUAUCUGAUAGGGUUUAUGGUACGAUUCUCUAGAAUCAGGUUGCUUACUCUGGAGUUUAAGUUUAGUAGUUUAUGGUUAUUUUCUUCUUCUUUCAUUUGAUUUUUAGCUUUUUCGAUGAACAAAAAUGGUUCAUAUUUUUUGCUAGCGUCCUAAUAAUUGCCUUAUUUUUGUUUUAUUUCAUCUGCAUGCCUUGAGUUUUCUUGCAUUGUUAUUGAUAGUUGAGUAGUUUUUAACUUCUCUACCUUUGAAAUACUGGAUGAAUUCUGACAUUCACCUUAUGUUGAAUUGACCAUUUGGACAUAGCUCAGACUCUGUUCAAACUAGAUUUUGUCUGUAGUAUUGUAAUCUCCAGCUAUUAAAUUAUAUUGGUUUGCCACAUUUAUACGGUUGCAUUUUAAAGCCCAAUAAGUUAUAAUAUUUAUCUGGAACUGAGUGCAAGUAAUUCAUUUCAUAUGUUUUAGUUUUUUUUUUUUUUAUAUGAUCCUCUGAUAUCAGGGUUAUGGUUUAAUAUAUUGUAUGCAUUUAAUUGUAAUCAAAAUCAGUUAGUAUUUUUACGUUGAAGUUUGAAGAUUAUUUCAUUUUCCCUUUUUGUUUGGGUCGACGGAUGAGUUCUUCUUAAGCCAUAAUGCAAGUAGCUUCUCUGUUCAUUUCAGUAUUGAUUAUGCAAUGACACUUGUCAUUUUGAUUGGUUCCACAGUCUUUGGUUGCUGCUUCAAGACGGAUAUUUUGGAUGAUGAUGAUGAAUAUAAAGACUAUAUAGGAAGCAUAGCGAGUGAACUCCAUGACUACUUCCCGGAUUCUUCAUUCAUGGUCUUCAACUUUAAAGAGGGAGAGAAUCAAAGCCAGAUUGGGAGCAAAUUAUCUGAAAAUGAUAUGACUGUAAUGGAUUAUCCUCUUCACUACGAAGGAUGCCCAUUGCUCACCUUGGAUAUGAUCCACCACUUUCUCAGAUCAAGUGAAAGCUGGCUGUCCCUUCAGCAACAAAAUAUGCUCCUGAUGCAUUGUGAACGAGGUGGCUGGCCAAUUUUGGCUUUCAUGCUUGCUGCUCUCUUGAUACAUAGGAAACAGUUCACGGGUGAGCAGAAAACCCUAGAAAUGAUUUAUAAGCAAGCACCUAGAGAGCUUUUGCAGCUGAUGUCACCCCUCAAUCCAUUGCCUUCACAACUAAGGUACCUGCAGUAUGUAUCAAGAAGCAAUACAGGCUCACAUUGGCCUCCGAUGGAUAGGGCACUUACACUGGACUGUGUUAUUCUUAGAGUUAUUCCCAACAUGAAUAGAGAGGGGGGUUGCCGUCCAAUAUUUAGGAUUUAUGGUCAGGACCCUCUAAUGGUUGCUGAUCGAACUCCCAAAGUUCUUUUCUCAAGACCAAAAAGGAGCAAACUUGUUCGGCAUUACAAGCAGGUAGCUCAAGUGUCUCUGUAUGUCUUUAAGUAUCUAUACAACUGCUUUAUGUUUUGAUCCAAAAUUUGUUCUUGCUUGCUGAGUGAAAGGCUAUGUUUUCAUUUUUUAGUUGUUUCUAAUUACUUAAAACUAGAUGCUCUUGCAAGACUUUUCUUACGCGGAAGCAAUUUUAAUGUAACUGAAUUUCCUGAUAAGAGUCUUGUGCAUUCAUUUUUCUUCGUCUCAAUUAUCUUUUGCAGAUAGUACUGCUACUUCCUUUUCUAUAAAUAUGAUGGUUUUUCAUUGAAGGGGUCUUCUUCCUAACUUUAAAGGCUAUAUUGGUGAUGCAUAUCAAAAUUCCUAUUCUAAAUUGGAUGUUACAUUGUUCACUCAUUCCCGUCAUUUGCAAUUUGUGGUUCUUGGUUGUUGAUUUACCAUUUGAUAACAAUGAAUAUGACGAAUAAAGUUGUAAGCGUUCUAAAAAUUCUUCAGUUGUUGCAGCAGGAAUUUCGUGAUUUAAUUAAAAUAGACAUUCUUUGUCAUCUUCAAGAUGAUGUUGAUGAUGGAGUAUACUAGUGUGGAGAGUGAUCUUCUAUUUUUAGUUCUUUCUAAAUACUUAAAAAACUAGAUGUUAUUGUAAGUUUAAUGUAAUUGAAUGUCGUGAUAAGAGUCAUAUGCAUUCCUUUAUCUUUGUCUCAAUGAUCUGUUCAGAUAUUACUGCUACUUCAUUUCUGUAUUAUGAUGCUUGUUAGUGAAGGGGUCUUCUUCCUUAAUUCUAUUGUUAUAUUGGUGAUACUUGUGAAAGUUUUGAUGCUAAUUUGGAUUGUGUGGUUCAUUAAUUCCUUAAAAAGUGCCUCAUUUGCAUUUUGUGAUUCUUAAUUAGGGUGUUUUUAAUUGUUUUUUCUAAUUACAAUGAAUAUGAUAACUAAAAUUAUAGACUUAUAGGUUCUCAAAUUCUUCAUUAAUUGCUGCAGGAAUUCUGUGAUUUGAUAAAAAUAGACAUCCAUUGUCAUAUUCAAGGUGAUGUUGUGAUGGAGUGUAUCAGCGUUGAGAGUGAUCUUGAAAGGGAACAGCUGAUGUUCCGGGUCGUGUUCAAUACAGCCUUUAUAAACUCAAAUAUCUUAAUGCUUAACCGUGAUGAAAUUGACACAUUAUGGAAUGUUAAAGAUAAAUUUCCAAAAGACUUCAGAGCAGAGGUAUCCACUUGUAUUCCUUCUUCUUUAUGUGUUCAAUGCUAUGUCAAAUUUCAUAUGGUCUGAGUCAACUUACUGUUUUUCCUUUUCCAAUUCUAUAAUUGAAGGUUCUUUUUUCAGAGAUGGAUUCGACUUCAUCUCGUACUUCAAUUGAUUUGCCGGUUUUGGAGGGGAAAGGUGGCCUUCGCAAGGAGACAUUUGCUAAAGUUCAAGAGGUUUUCAGCAAUGUGGGCUGGCUAGAUACAAGACCUGAUGUGGCAUUAAAUGUGCUUCAACAUAUCACUGCACUCCAAGAAGAUUUGGAGGCUGUUUCUCCGCAGAAAGCAAAAAAAGGCAGCAAUAUGCCAGAAUCAAAUGUUGAAAAAGUUCAAGAUGAAUCAUUCUCAGCUCCCCAUCCCCCUCCCCCUCCUCCACCACCUUCGUUUUCAGGACCAUCUCCAUUAUCCGCAAUCAAGAAAUCACAUGCAACUCUCCUUCCUCCACCACCUACUGAGGUUGCUUCAUUAGUUGCUAUCUCAGUUUCUUCCCCACAGCUUGUAACAAACUCAGCAGUCAUUUCUGGGUCUCCUCCACCUUCUCCUCCUCCAUUUUCUGGGUCUGCAUCAGGCUCUUUCUUUUCUGUUAAAGUACCACCACCACCUCCUCCUCCUAGUUCUGCUCGAAAUUCAUCCAACAAUUCUGCACGUAUUCUUCCUGUUCCACCACCUCCUGCUCCUUUUUCCGAAGAGUUGUCAAAGCAGUGUGCUGCUUCUUUGCCAUCUUCUCGAGUUAGCAAAGGAAUUGUGCCCUCUGUUCCUGGACCACCUUCUGGUCCUCCAUUUAGUGUAAAGGGGCGAGGCCUUUCACGUCCAAAUCCAAGAAGUCAGGUCCAACCUAAAAAGGCCAACCUGAGGCCUUAUCAUUGGUUGAAAUUAACUAGAGUCAUGCAAGGAAGUCUUUGGGCUGAGACACAAAAAUCUGAUGAAGCUUCCAAGUAUACAUCUUUUUUGUCACCUGUUUUUUAAGAAAUGUUUUUAAGUUACAAUUAUUCUUUCUGCUUUUUUUCAUCCUUACCCUGUUUUUUCUAUGCUAGGGCUCCGGAAUUUGACAUGGCAGAACUUGAGAGUCUUUUCUCAGCAGCUGCACCUACUGGUCAAGGAGGCAUGGAGGGGAAAUCAAAUCGUCGCACCUUGGGACGUAAAUCUGAUAAAGUUCAGCUGGUAAAUAGUGUGUUUUUGUAGGAAAGGACUUGAUUGUUUUGAUGUCAUCUAACCUUUUUUUUUCCCUUUUCAUCUUCAAAAGCAAUCUUCUUUGGUUCUUUUGUUUGUUUUCUGAACUAGAGCCUUUCUUUUUCUUUUACUUCUCUUUUUGCAGCAAGUUUGCAUGUUUAGUGCAUGAUCAUUUUUAUUUGUCUUAUUUUUGUGGGUGUAUUCUUGGUGUACACUUAAUAAUUAUUAAAACAUCUAUUAUUUCUUUUCUCACAAGGUAUUUCCUGAUUCUGCAGAUUGAGCUUAGACGGGCAUAUAAUUGUGAAAUCAUGCUUUCAAAAGUUAAGGUUCCUCUGUCUGACCUAAUGGUAUGCUUAACCUUUUUUGCUUUUUUUUUUUUUUAAGUUAAUGCAUCUCAAAAUGAUUUGAGUUAAAAAAGUGAGGUUGAACAAAUUUAUACUAUAGAUCAUAGUUCAUGAAGUAAAAAAGCAGAAAAAACAUCAUUAUCAUUUUCUGUAUAAAGGUUCAGUAAAUUCGUAUGAGACUACUUCUAUGUAUGUGAGUGAUUUCAUGAUGGUCAUUGAUUAAAUUUUUUUUACAUGACAUGCUUAAAUGUUUCUGCUUAUGCCAUGUACCUUUUUUCUUUCUCUGUGCUUCAUCCAGAAAUUCCAUACUAUAGUGCUUAAGGCUUUUAUUGCCAUUCAACUGAAAUUUAAUAAUUAUUAAUGGUGAUUUGUAAUUUCUUUUAUAUUUCAUAACAAUCCUGGAGCAUUAUUAUUCUUGAGAACAAAUUGAAUAUGAAUGGUUGCAGAUUUUAUUUUUCCACCUGAGUGUGCCUUGUGUGCCCUGUUUUCUUGUGGUGAUUGAAAUAUUACUUCAUAUAUUUUCCUUUUCAUUUGACAAUCUGAGGACAUGUUAAUUCUUGUAAAUUUGACUAGCCCCUGAUCCAUGUUCCAUUUCUCCCCUUUUUCUUCUGGAACUAGUUAUUUGAAGUCCUGUAGCUUUGUAUGGAUCAAGGAUAAGGAUUCUAACCUAUUUCAUGAUUUAUUAUUGGCCUCUUAACAUUUUGCACUGCUGCCAAUGUCUUGCAGAUUUCAGUCCUUGCCAUGGAUGAUUCAGCCCUUGAUGUUGAUCAGAUUGAUAACCUUAUCAAGUUCUGUCCAACAAAAGAAGAGACGGCAUUGCUAAAGGUAUUGAAAAAUUGUUUUCAUAUAAAAUAUUUCGCAUCUUCAUUAAUAUAGUUAGAACUUUAAUAUGUUGUGACCAGUUUAUUUCAUUUCUAGCUGGUCAUACAGAAAAAACUGUAUCAGUUCAAGAUGCAAGUGCAUUCUUCUGUACCUAUUUGAGUAAUAACUAGAUUUUUUAUUAUAAAUAUUCAGGGUUAUAAUGGAGAUAAGGAGAACUUGGGAAAGUGUGAACAGGUGUGGCAUAGUCAUUUUCAUUUUAAGUUUCUCUUUUACAUUUAUGUUAACUUAUAGCCCUUACACCUAAUGCCAGAAAUUCAAAUUGUUAAUGGAAAAAAAAAAACAUCCUUUUCAUGUGGAUUGAUUUCCUUUAAUCUCUCUAAUGAACCAAUUGUGCAAUUGGGAAUGUACUUCAUAUAUAUGGUCUUCUGUCUGUUUCCUUUUUUAAUUACUCCUCAAUUAAAUGACUUACGUAUUUUUAUGGCAGUUCUUCUUGGAAAUGAUGAAAGUGCCACGGGUAGAGUCAAAGCUAAGAGUCUUUUCAUUUAAGCUACAAUUCAAUCACCAGGUUAGAGGACAAAACUUACCUUAGUAUGCUGAUUUUCUGAUGCUUCCUAUUGUUAUUAUUUUUAAUUUUGCCUUGUUUUACACCUUUUUCAGGUCUCUGACCUCAGAAGAAAUUUGAACGUUGUAAAUUCAGCUGCUGAAGAGGCAAGUCUUAUAUUCUUUUUAUUGCUCUGUCUACUUCUAUUGAAAUUUUUCUCUGUAUUUUUCAUUUCUUGCACCAUUUUCAAUAUGUUCAUCAGAUCAGGAGCUCAGUCAAGUUGAAACGGGUCAUGCAAACUAUUCUUUCCCUGGGUAAUGCUUUGAACCACGGAACUGCAAGGGGUGAGUUGCAAAUUCAUUGGUUAGAUUUUGUUGUGACUUCCAUCAAAAACAUUUGGAAUUUGCAUAACAGUAGAUUAAGCAAAUUAGGAAACUCAAACAAAUAAAAUUUUGUGCCAAGUUAGAGAUGGAGCCAUUCCAUCUUUGGAUAUAUAUGUCUAAUUAUCAAUAAUUUCUUUUUUCUUUUUAAUUCAUUAUGUGCGUCACGUGACUUUUUAAGAGAGGACCGCAGUAUAAUUCUGAACUUUCAUGUUACAUAUAUAAAAUGCCAAACUUCAUUCCUACUCCUAAAAUCCUUUCCUUUUAGAAUCUUGAACCUUUCACCGUAAGAUCCAAAUUUUGCUCUAUAAAGUAGAAUCCCAAAUCUUCUUAUUGUAAAAUACCAAGCUUUUCCUGUAAAUCAUUCUUAUUAAAAUAUGUUGCAGAAGUGAUAAAGCCUGAUGAUCUAUGGUAUCCAUAGCAAAUAUUAAUUGUGUUCAUCCAGGUGAUUGUUGUAUCAGAAGCGAUAAGGCCUAAUGAUGUAUGGUAUUCAUGGUUUCAUACUCUUUGAUGCAGUCAAACUCAGUAUAGAAGGAUGACCCAGGGGAUUAUUACCCUGCACUUGAUCAGACCUAGUGAAAAUGAUGUGGAGAGGUCUUACACCAUGCUAUAGUUAAACUCAACAAACUAGGUUAUUCAAGGGGUUUUGACCAGGAAAAUGAUCAUUUUAAUUUUAUGGUUACUAUUCCCAUGAGGAAUAUUGUUAUUGAUAAUGGAUAGACCAAAUCCAUUCUUAAACAAAGUCCAAAUCUUGAAGAAGUUUAUCAACUAAGACUAGAUUUUAUCUGCAAUAAAUAGAUUGCAUUUAUCUAGUAGUUUCUUAUCUCUAUAUCCAUUAUCCAUAACAAAUAUUGCAUUUGUUUCAUUGUCAGUAUUCACAUUUUACACAUUGUUUGUAUUAAACUGGAUGCUGUGUGCAACUGAGUAAUCCUCAGAUUUUUCUACCUUCUGAUGGAAUACUAGCAUAAGCAACGAUGUCUCUCUGAGACUGAAUGUUUUCUCGUUUGAUGAGAUUAAAUUCAAUAUUUUUUGGGUUACCAUCUUUAUCCUGUUUUCCACUGAAUCUUUUAUAGAGUUUUGAUGCGACUCCCUUGGGACGCUGGGAUUAACAAUUUAUAAUUAUACUGUUUUAGGUUCUGCUGUUGGAUUUCGGUUGGACAGUCUCCUCAAACUCACAGAUACACGAGCUCGGAAUAACAAGAUGACGCUCAUGCAUUAUCUCUGCAAAGUAAAAUGUUAACCCUUUCUUACUGCUCCCUAGAAUGAAUUUACUGAUUCCAAAUCUUCAUCUUGUGCAUAUUGAAAAUAAGAGGAGCAACAAAACAAAAUGGAAAACUGAAUUAGGGCUAAAAACUGUUGUUUGGGUUCGGUAUUACAUUCUUUUCAGUGAAUAAUAGCGGAACGUGGUAAAUGAACAUCUUCAUGCAUUGGCAGAAAGUUAUGUGUCAUUAAAUUAUUUUUGUGGGCUUUUGACCUGUAGAUGCUUGAUGAAAAGCGUCCGGAGCUGCUGGAGUUUCCAAAGGACCUCACAAGUUUGGAGGCUGCAACCAAAGUGCUCUUCUUCUUCUUCUUCUUUGUUAUUGCGUUUAUUUUGUGAAAAUAUCCCAUAUCUGUUUUAUUAAUCAAUGCUUUAUUAAAUGUUUUGAUGUAUAAGCAGAUACAGUUGAAAUAUUUGGCAGAGGAAAUGCAAGCCAUUAGUAAAGGGCUGGAGAAAGUUGCACAGGAAUUGAUUGCUUCAGAGAAUGAUGUUGAAGUGUCAGAAAAUUUUGGCAAGGUUAAGUCUUACAUAUCGACAACUGUGGUUCAUAUGCAUGGAUUAGGCUUUUCAGGAUUAUGUUUGUUGGAAGUUCCUAUUUGGAAUUGAAGCUUGCAAGCAUACAAUCAUUUUCUCACACUUUCUUUUAUUUGCUUAAAGUUGAUACCAUAGCAGAUUAAUAUUUGUGAGUUAGAUUUAUGCUUGAUCUAGCAUCAGACAGACAGGAUGCGUCUUUUUAUUGAUGGAGAGAACUUAAUGUCAAUUCAAGUGUCUGAUUAUGAGAGGGGAGAACCUUUUUUUCUUGGGUGCACUCACCAUUUCACCUAAGAGUCAAAAUUUAAGUUGAGUGGUUCUUUCAUGUCAAAGCCUUUUUAGGACCUAGUUGUCUAAAUACAAUUUCUGACUCUCCUAUUCUUAUGAUAAAAUUGCAAUACGAGGUAAGCAUGGACAAUACACUUUACCCAAUAGGCUUAUGGUUGAAGGUGCAUGUUAUGUUUAGCACUUCAGGUUCCAUAGCAAGGCUAGCAGAUUCCUCAAUUCUUUAUUAUUAUAAAGUUGGACUACAGCUGAUUUUG
rnacentral:lncRNA from 1 species